CCUCUCUUCUAAGUUUAUGACCCCUUGUUUCCAUUUGGUUACCACAUAUUUCCAUGUGAAUGGUCUAGCAGAUAAUUAAACUCAUAUGUAUUCCUGUGAGUCAGGUGACCAGGUGUGACCUAGCUGGUCCUUGGCUCCAAGUGUCCGAACAGGUAGGCUGGAUUGCAUCCUCAUCUGGAGACUUGGCGAGAAUCUGCUUCUGAGCUCCUUCAGAUUGUUGGCAGAAUUCAUUUCUCUGUGGCUGCAAGACUAAUGGUUUCAGUUUAUUGCUGAAGCCAGUCCUCAG